GUGAUCUUCCGAUCACAAGGAACAAGAUGAUCAAGAGCUGCAAUUCCCAAGUGAUCAAGUUGAAGACUCAUCAUCUACUACUCCUGAAGAAGUACAAGAAGCUGCUGUAGAUGAAGAUGAAGAACAUGAGAUUCAUUUGCCUAUUGUCAUACCAGAGCGUGAUGUGUCGG